GGUGUAAUCAAUGUGGAAAGACUAAGGAAGAAAAACACAAAGCCAAAUUCAUAACUGUCCUGAAGCCUUAAACUGCUCACAGGGGAAACCAUUACCCAAGAUUACAAGAACCCAGGGUGCUGAUUACAUCUCAUGGCACUCCAGAUAGAACCCUCAUUUUAGGGUCCUGUGGGAGCAAAUGGCACAGCCCAGACGACAGAGAUGGCUGACCAGGCACAAACCAAGGCAGCUGCACCAUUGUUUCACCCUGGUGCCUCGGUCCACAGAUGGAGAGUUUUUCCCCAGGAUGAAUCAUACCCAGGAUCUCACUAAUACUGAAAUUAGAUGGUUAAGAUAAUAAGAUUUGGGACUUUUAAGCUGAUAAGAUUUAGGUAAUACAUGUGACUUUGAAUUGAUUCUAUAAUGAAUUGAGACUGUGGAGUAUAUUGGGAUGGGGUGUAUGUAUUGUGCAUAUAGAAUGGAUAUAAACCUUUGGGGCCAAAGGGAAGACUAGCAGGCUAAUGGUUCCCCAAGCAUGUCCACAUCCUAAUCCCUGAAACCUGUCAAUAUGUAGCCUUAUGUGGCAAAAGGCACACACUUUACAGAUGUGAUUAAAUGAAGGAUCUCAAGAUGGGGAGAUCAUCUUAGGUAACCCAAUGUAAUCACAAAGGUCCUUAUAAGAGAGAAGCAGGAUGGUUAAAGACAGAGAUGUAAAGUGGAAGAAGAGGAGCCACAGAGUGGGAGCAACCCCUGGAAGAUAGAAAAGGCAAGAAAACUGAUUAAUCCUGAGAGCCUCCAGAUGGAAUGCUGCUGUGCUAACACCUUGAUUUUAGCCCACUGAAACUGAUUUUAGACUUGUCUACUCUAGAACUGGAAGAGAAUAAAUUUGUGUUGCUCUAAGUCACUAAAUUUGUGGUAAUUCGUUACAACAGCAGUAGGAAACAAACUCAGGAACCAACAUGAGCAUGAAGCAUAUGUGGCCUGCUGUGCUGUAAUGAAGAUUUUUGUCUCUGACCCAAGACUCUUGUGUCUUCUGGCAGCAUCCAUGAGACUAUGGCAAGCUGAUUUGCAGAAGGGGCAAAAUCUUGGACCAUUCACAGUUCUUAACAUUUAGUUCAUAAAAAUGAUGAUAUAGUCAUGGGUAUUUGUCUGACGUUUAAGUAUCUUUCAAUCUUCUGAUCAAUAAAUCUACUUCUAAAUAAGAUACCACUUAAGUAGCUGUGAACUUUAAUAAU
rnacentral:lncRNA from 10 species